UGAGUAACCUGCCCUUCACUCUGGGAUAACUCCGGGAAACCGGGGCUAAUACUGGAUAUGACUCGAACAGGUAUCUGUUUCGGGUGGAAAGAUUUAUUGGUGGAGGAUGGACUCGCGGCCUAUCAGCUUGUUGGUGAGGUAAUGGCUCACCAAGGCGACGACGGGUAGCCGGCCUGAGAGGGCGAUCGGCCACACUGGGACUGAGACACGGCCCAGACUCCUACGGGAGCA
rnacentral:rRNA from 1 species